rnacentral:rRNA from 1 species
AUUGAACGCUGGCGGCAGGCCUAACACAUGCAAGUCGAGCGGAUGAAGGUAUCUUGCUCCUGGGUUCAGCUACGGACUGGUGAGUAAUGCCUAGGAAGCUGCCUGCUAGUGGGGGAUAACGUCCGUAAACGGUCUCUAAUACCGCAUACGUCCUAAGGGCGCAAUUGGGGGAUCUUCGGACCUCACGCUAUCAUAUUAGCCUAGGUCGGAUUAGCUAGUUGGUGGGGUAAAUGCCUACCAAGGCGACGAUCCGUAACUGGUCUUAGGGGAUGAUCAGUUACACUGGAACUGAGACAGGGUAGAGACUCCUAGGGGAGGAAGCAGUGGGGAAUAUUGGACAAUGGGGGAAAGCGUGAUACAGCAAUGCCGCGUGUGUGAAGAAGGUCUUAGGAUGGUAAAGCAAAUUAAGUUGGGAGGAAGGACAGUAAGUUAAUAGCUUGCUGUUUUGACGUUACCAGCAGAAUAAGCCCCGGCUAACUUCGUG